rnacentral:rRNA from 1 species
UACAGAGGGGGCAAGCGUUGUUCGGAAUUACUGGGCGUAAAGGGCGCGUAGGCGGCCCGCUAAGUCGAACGUGAAAUCCCCGAGCUCAACCUGGGAACUGCGUCCGAUACUGGAUGGCUUGAAUCCGGGAGAGGGAUGCAGAAUUCCAGGUGUAGCGGUGAAAUGCGUAGAUAUCUGGAGGAAUACCGGUGGCGAAGGCGGCAUCCUGGACCGGCAUUGACGCUGAGGAGCGAAAGCCAGGGGAGCAAACGGG